rnacentral:rRNA from 1 species
GUAGAGGAUGUUUCGGGCGCGGCACCGGUCUAAGUUCCUUGGAACGGGGCGUCAUAGAGGGUGAGAAUCCCGUAUGUGACCGGCGACCAAGCCCAUGUGAAACUCCUUCGACGAGUCGAGUUGUUUGGGAAUGCAGCUCAAAAUGGGUGGUAAAUUUCAUCUAAAGCUAAAUACCGGCCAGAGACCGAUAGCGCACAAGUAGAGUGAUCGAAAGAUGAAAAGCACUUUGGAAAGAGAGUCAAACAGUACGUGAAAUUGUUGAAAGGGAAGCGCUUGCAACCAGACCUGCCCGCGGGCGAUCAGCCGUCCUUCGGGGCGGUGCACUCGCCCGCGAUCAGGCCAGCAUCGGUUCGGGCGGCCGGAUAAAGGCCUUGGGAACGUAGCUUCUUUCGGGGAGUGUUAUAGCCCUUGGUGCAAUGCGGCCCGCCUGGACCGAGGACCGCGCUUCGGCUAGGAUGCUGGCGUAAUGGUUGCAAGCGGCCCGUCUUGAAACACGGACCAAGGAGUCUAACAUCUAUGCGAGUGUUUGGGUGUCAAACCCAUGCGCGUAAUGAAAGUGAACGGAGGUGGGAACCCUGAAGGGCGCACCAUCGACCGAUCCAGAUGUCUUCGGAUGGAUUUGAGUACGAGCAUAGCUGUUGGGACCCGAAAGAUGGUGAACUAUGCCUGAAUAGGGUGAAGCCAGAGGAAACUCUGGUGGAGGCUCGCAGCGGUUCUGACGUGCAAAUCGAUCGUCAAAUUUGGGUAUAGGGGCGAAAGACUAAUCGAACCAU